CCUACGGGGGGCAGCAGUAGGGAAUCUUCCACAAUGGGCGAAAGCCUGAUGGAGCAACGCCGCGUGGGUGAAGAAGGUCUUCGGAUCGUAAAACCCUGUUGUUAGAGAAGAAAGUGCGUGAGAGUAACUGUUCACGUUUCGACGGUAUCUAACCAGAAAGCCACGGCUAACUACGUGCCAGCAGCCGCGGUAAUACGUAGGUGGCAAGCGUUAUCCGGAUUUAUUGGGCGUAAAGGGAACGCAGGCGGUCUUUUAAGUCUGAUGUGAAAGGCUUCGGCUUAACCGGAGUAGUGCAUUGGAAACUGGGAGACUUGAGUACAGAAGAGGAGGGUGGAACUCCAGGUGUAGCGGUGAAAUGCGUAGAUAUAUGGAAGAACACCAGUGGCGAAAGCGGCUCUCUGGUCUGUAACUGACGCUGAGGUUCGAAAGCGUGGGUAGCAAACAGGAUUAGAUACCCGGGUAGUC
rnacentral:rRNA from 1 species